AGCAGCCGCGGUAAUUCCAGCUCCAAUAGCGUAUAUUAAAGUUGUUGCAGUUAAAAAGCUCGUAGUUGAAUUUCGGGGUUAGUAGGUUGGUCAUGCCUCUGGUAUGUACUGGUCUCACUGAUUCCUCCUUCCUGAUGAGCCGUAAUGCCAUUAAUUUGGUGUUGCGGGGAAUUUGGACUGUUACUUUGAAAAAAUUAGAGUGUUUAAAGCAAGCUAACGCUUGAAUACAUUAGCAUGGAAUAAUGAAAUAGGACGUUCGAUCCUAUUUUGUUGGUUUCUAGGAUCGACGUAAUGAUUAAUAGGGAUAGUUGGGGGCAUUAGUAUUCAAUUGUCAGAGGUGAAAUUCUUGGAUUUAUUGAAGACUAACUACUGCGAAAGCAUUUGCCAAGGAUGUUUUCAUUAAUCAAGAACGAAAGUUAGGGGAUCGAAGACGAUCAGAUACCGUCGUAGUCU
rnacentral:rRNA from 1 species